UUUCCGUAGGUGAACCUGCGGAAGGAUCAUUACCGAUUGAUGGCCCUCUGAGUCCAACCUCCCACCCUUGUUUAUUUACCUUGUUGCUUCGGCGAGCCUGCCUUUUGGCUGCCGGGGGACGUCAGUCCCCGGGUCCGUGCUCGCCGGAGACACCUUAGAACUCUGUCUGAAGAUUGUAGUCUGAGAUUAAAUAUAAAUUAUUUAAAACUUUCAACAACGGAUCUCUUGGUUCCG
rnacentral:misc_RNA from 1 species